UUAUUUUUAUUUAUUGGCAAAGAGUAAUUGGAUUGGGACACAGAGACAGAGAAUGGAACUCCAAGGGAAUGAUGAUCCACUUCCCUUCCCUCUCCAUUGUAGAAAAUUUAUGUGCCAUUUCCAAGAUUAUAACACUUAUUCAAAUUCAACACCAGAAAACAAAUAAGAUGCUGGAAACCACACAAGAUUUACUUAAAUUGUCUCAGACAAGCACAUCAAAGAAACAAUCAUGAAACCAAAACCAUAAUUAAAUCUACAAGAAGGAAUUAAAUCAGCAAGUAAUGAUUCAUUCUUAAGAAAUAGUAAACAAAACAAAAAAAGGCCAAAGUGUCCAAAUAGCCAAUAUCAUAAGCAAAACUUAAACACAAGAGACAUAACAAAACAACAUAAUAAGAUAAGUAACAUAAGGUCACAACAACAUGUGACUACUUUUAACCAGUGAGUUCUUCCUCCUUGUGUGUCUCAAUGACAACAUCUGACUGAGGAUAAGCAACACAUGUAAGAACAAACCCUUCAUCUACUUGAUCAUCAUCAAGGAAGCUACCAUCAGUUUGGUCCACCUUUCCUUCCGUAACCUUACCAGCACAUGAAGAACAAGAACCAGCCCUACAAGAGUAGGGUAGGUCAAGGCCUUCUUCUUCUGCCUGGUCAAGGAUGUAUACAUCAUCAGGGCAUUCAAAUUCUUUAGGUCCGUCUGGGGUGAUGACCUUAACCUUGUAAGUAGCCAUGGCUAUAACAAGACUACGUCCACCUUUCACACCAAAAAGAGGCUCACCCAUGUUUGGGAAUGCCCUAAGGCUUGUGGCCAUUGGCUGGCUCCUAAGGAAGGAGGUGCUGCUAACCAUGGUUCCAGAGAGGGUUGGUGUAGUGGCCAUUGGUGUUGUUGCAAGAGUGGUUGGUGGAGGUAAAGAGUGGAUAGAACAACACUUGCUUGUGUUGUUUGAUGAUAAAGGGUGAGCUUGUGGAAAUGCUGUGAUUUAUUACAAUUUACAAGUUGUGUUGCAUGGAUACCCUAUCUGCCACGUGGCAGCAUGUUACACCUUGCUUUGUUAUCUCUUUAUCAUCAUGGUUACUUGGUCACUGUGGUUGGCACAAGCAUCUCCUCACAAGUUUCCAAACCCAAUAAAUUUUGAACCAUAAAAAAAUUUGAUUCACUCUCUUUUUUAUAUGGUUUGUAUAUAUAUAUGAAGGAGCUAAUAGAAAUUCCAAAAGAAGAAUAUAUCAAAUAAAUAUCAGUCCAAUUCCUUAGGAAGAAAGACCAAUAAAAAAAUCAUACAUGAAAUGAUUAAGUAAAAUUUAGAGAUCAAAGAUUCAUUAAUAAAUAUGAUUUAUGAUAGAAGAUUAUAAUGUUGUUUACUCUAUAUAACCAAUCUUGCUAAGAUAAAUAUUUGAUUGUUGUUAUUGGAUACAACGUAUUUAUCCAUUAAUGUUGUUUUCAAAAUUCCACUUCGGUCACUCGCUUGCAAUUAAGAGCAUAUAUAUUAGUAUUUCAAUUGAACUUGCAACUCAUAAUUGUCACUGCAACAGAUAAACAUUUUAAGUUGCCCAUAAGCUCAAAUCAGAAAAUGGUAAAGAAAAACUGCUAGAUUCUUCCAGCUAGUCAUUUGACAGUGUCACCAUCAUCUGCUUCAAGUGGCAUUGAAGUUAAGAUAACUUUAUUUUACUGGUUAAAAAGAUGACUUAUUAGAAACCUUGGGCAUUUUUUUAAACAACACCAUUAUUUAUCUGAUGUUUUCACUUACAAUUUUCAUAUCAAACUGAAACAUAUUAGCAAUUGUGAAAGAAGGUAGUUUACAAGGCAUAUUCUAAGAGAAAGUGAAAGAUGCCUUGCACUGAAUAUUUAUCCUUUCCCACACAAAAGGUCCACCAAAAUCAAGAGCAAGAACAAAACAGAUAAAAAAUAGUACAUAUCACAAGCAGAGCAGCAUGAACUGUAACUAAUGAAAACUAUUUUGUACCAAUUAAGUUGACAACCAUGUAAGUGAAAUUAAGUUGAUAUGAAAACUUAUUUGCUAAAACUGCAACAUAUGUGAAGGAGCAGUUUUACAUCAUGAGAUUAACACUAGUCAGUGUUCUAACUUCUUAGGUUCCAUCUAAAAUGACUGUCACUUCAAUGAUGAGAUAUUGAAAUAUUUAGAGGCAAAAGAAAAACUAACAAAGUCAAUGCAAGCAAUAAUUAAAAUGUAAACAUAAAAGGGUGUCAAGGAAGCACAUAAGGAUAUUCAAAUCUUAAUACAAAAUUCAUUUCUGAGACUUAAUCCCCUAUUAGUAGAAUGAAUAGCUAAAACCAUGUAGGGGAAUUUGACAAUAGUACUUCAAUGGGCACCUAUUUAUAAAGAGAUGAAACAGUGACCACAAGAUUCAGACAUUUUAACUAUCUAAAUUAUAAGGACAAACAAUUACAGCCUGGGGAAAAAAAUCUCAGGGCUACCCCAAUAUAGAAAAAUAAUACACCCUCAUUCUCCAAACCCUGUGAUUCAACUUGUAAAGAUUGUUAGGUUCCCCCACACACAUGGAAGUGCUCAGGUCUCACUCAUUAAACCGCCUUAGUCGCAUUUGAUGUUUCGGUAGAUCCUCCUCACAAACAAUCUUGAACCAAGAAAACCAACAGCUCCUGCACAUUUGAAGAAAAAGUUUAACUCGAGUUUAGGAAAUAAGAACAAAAGCAUUGAAGCAGGACCAUAGGAAGACGUGGGAUUUAUUCGAAACAUGAUUAAGGUAUAUACCACAUCUGCAAGAUAAAAACGGGAGCACAUCUGUUGUCCCACAGUUUGUGCCACUUCAUAUGCUAUGGGCUUGUGAUAAUUAAUUUUUAACUUAAAUAUAUUUUUUCUGACCAAUCACAAGCCCAUGGCACAUGGAGUGGCACAAACUGUGGGACAGCAGAUGUGUACCCGAUAAAAACCUACAAUCAAACUAAAGACUUACCACAUAGAAUUCCUAGUCCAAGAGAAAACAUUAAUGUGUAUCCAAAAUAGAAGCUAGUUUGGA
rnacentral:lncRNA from 1 species